CAAGAAACGAGGCUACGUGCCCCGCUCUUUACCUUGCCUACUGCACUAUCUGUUGCUUCCUGGCGGCGGUUCGCCUGCCGCCAGGGACAUUGUAAAGCCCUGUAUAAGCAUUAAAAAACUGAAACAAACCGAAUCGUA
rnacentral:misc_RNA from 1 species